GGCGUUGGCCUCCGCGGCCCGUGCGAGUGCGCCCUUCUCGGGUCCCCUAGGUCGCGGGGCAGCCGGGGCGGAAGGGGCUUGUUCAUUAUUUUGAGAGUUUGUUGUGAACGUCAUAACCUUUCGUCCUUAAAUAUUGCCGAUACUUGACCUACGCAAGAGACAAUGUCAUGUGAUUCAGCCUAAUAUCUCAGAGGAUGCAGCAUUCAAGGUUCUAUCUUGGAAGCAGAGACUGUGCCCUCACCAGAUGCUGAACCUGCUGAGCACCCUGAUCUUCCACUUCACCUUCAUCAGAACUGGACGCGCAUGAAAUUUGGUGCCGUGACUCGGAUCGGCGGACCUCCCUUAGGAGAUCAAUCCCCUGUCCUCCUGCUCUUUGCUCCAUGAGAAAGAUCCACCUACGACCUAAGGUCCUCAGACCAACCAGCCCAAGAAACAUCUCACCAAUUUCAAAUCCGAAAUCCUUCAUCUAAUCUGGCAAACACAUGUGGCAGGUUUUUCUCACCGCAUAAAAUAUGUUAUAGAGUAGUCCAUCUAUUUCUCUUCCAUGGAAGAGUUCAUCUGGUAGAUUGGACUACCACUUUUCCUUGUCCCGAGUUCUCAUCCCGCAUCCAGGAAGAAUGAGGUUAUGUGGACACCUGGAGGGUGAGCGAGGCUGAGAAAAGCUUUAUUGGGCAACCAGACAGCUCUCAGAAGAGAGGUGACCUGAAGCAGGAUGAGAGACGUUGAGCUCCAAACUCAGACUAAGAAACUAUAAGAAAUAUGCUUCAAUGAAGAAGCUGUUCAAAAAUGAGUAAGAUUGUUUCCUUGAGGCAAGAAAGAAAUGCAGAAGUCUUGACAAACAAAAGAAGAGAUUGCCUUAGGGAAGGGGACUACAGUGAACACUGAGAACUUCUUCCCACGCUAAGACAAUCUUUACAGAGCAAGACUCCGUCUCAAAAAAAAAAAAAAAA
rnacentral:lncRNA from 1 species